AGGUACCGUCAAAACCCAAAGGUAUUAACCUCAGGCUUUUCUUCCCCACUGAAAGUGCUUUACAACCCUAGGGCCUUCUUCACACACGCGGCAUGGCUGGAUCAGGGUUGCCCCCAUUGUCCAAUAUUCCCCA
rnacentral:rRNA from 1 species